AGAAAGUGCUGUGGAUGCACUCUGGUGCAAGGAGAAAGCGAAAGAGUGAGACACAGAUAGAGGAAGACAGACAGAGAGAGAGACAGAGCAAGGGUGAGCGUGAGCGUCGAAGCAAAACAAACCGAGGCGAGUCAGCCUCCGUCUGAUCCAAUAACAUCGGGGUAAUUGGACGGCCUCGUUCUGUGGAUUCCCUCUAAGCACCGCCCCGAUGACAGAGCCCAGGUGCUGCACCCUAGCCCGCACUACAGCGUGUUUGGAUGGGGAUGAGGUGUUGGAUGGUCCACUGGAGAGGAGCACCCACUGCAUGACGGCUCAAUUAUCCCUCAACCAUGCUUACCAUCUCCCCUAUCAUUCUCGGGAUAAGCCGAGCUAGGGGCUCGGUAGCUUGGUAGCUCGAUAGAGAUCUGAUGGGAGUCGUGGCUUUCAUAGUGAUGUGAUGCACAGCCAGAGAUGUUUGCCCUUGGACCUCCGCAAGCAUUCCCUCAGGAAAAAACAAAGCUCUUAUUCUUCUCCUGGCAAUCGAGAGAAUUCUACCUUUGCCCUAGUCAUGGAUUUGAGGAAAAGUACCCUGCCUUCUCUACACAAUAAGCACAAACUUUCCCAUUGCACUCAUGUCUCCUCAUCUUCCAUUUAUGUGGAACCCUUUUAUGUAUGUGAAACUCACAAACCCACAAAGACCUUACUUGAAAACAGAGGGAUUUUGGGCAGAAUUGGGAGUCAUUUAACAAUCCAAUCGCUUGCUAGCAUUCAGCUAACUAAAACACAUUAAGAUUUAGAUCCCAGAACAUGAUGUUGAGGGCUCGGUUAAAUGCAGCGCUAGCCUUGUUGUAUUGAGCCAGCACAGGCCCUUAGCCAUUGCCUACCGACCUUUCUGGUAGAUGCUUGGCACAUUUUCCUUCUUAAUCAAGAUUGAUCAAACCAAGCUGCUAAGCGCGGAGCUGCGGUGACAUUUAGUAUGGAAGGAACGUGUUAAUCUGUCAGGACAGAACUGCAAGAUGAUUUGCUUAUCUUCAUCACAGAGAACAUUUGUUCAUGCAAACCGGGGGCUUCUGAACAGGCUUAGUAGACAGCUGGCUUGGAAAAUGGAGCUGUUGGGCUGGCGAACUGUUUUGCUUCAAGAAAUUAACACUCGGCUGCCGGCACGCUGUUGCAUUUUACUGUUUGAGUCAUCAAAGGGCGGUUCCCUCUACACAUUGUCGUGAAAUAAAUCGUUUUUUUGGAUACCAUUAUCAGUCGAUUUAUUUAUUAGAAUUUAUAUUCUCCUAUUAGGCCCUUAACUACCACUAAUAAUAAAACCCAAU
ensembl:lncRNA